GUACCGCUGCACCCACGCUGAAUCCCCAUCCAAAAUCCAUGAAGGAAUUUAGGAUGCUAAAUCUUGAGACAAACUAAUGGGGGGGGCGGGGCCAGGAUACGGUCCUCAUUUCCCCACUUAAUGAGAAUGCUGGAAGUUUACAGCAGAGAAUGACCUGUUCCAGAUAAAUACAGACUGCAGCAGCCAGCACCCCCUAAGGGGCUUUGUAAUAUACAUCAGAUGUGUGGCCACAUCAGUCCCUGGGAAGUUCAGGGCCCACAGAUGACCCCUCAUCCUCUUCUCCCCACUCCCCCCACGCAGGGUCUUACUUUGUAGCCCCGGCUAUCCUCCUGCCUCAAGAAGCUGAGAAUUUUGUCUUGCUUUCCUUCUUUCCGUUUACGUCCACGUGCGUGUGUAUACAUGGUUACGUAUUGGCGUUGACACCUCCUACAUACAAGUCACAAUUGCCAGCCUUGGGGACACAGCAGUGCCCGUCUUCAUUGGUACUUCCAGUCUAGCGAGGAAGCAGAAUAUAAAAUUCCCACAAUGAUUAGUAACUAUUAUGACAAGCUCCGAGAAGUCCCAACUGCAGGCAGGAGAGGACCAUAAAGAUCAACCAACCUGACAUUUGAUGGAUGAGGAAACAGCACUGAAGAGGGAAGUGACUUCUGUAAGCCACACAGAUCUUUCCUGGUGGUGUUGCCACCAAAACCCGGGCUGACUCCCUGACAAGUCCCUGCUCACCAGGGGUGGAGCUAAAGGAGAAGGACCUGAGGCUGAGAACGAGCUGGACUUGUGGAGAAACUGCAAGCAGCUGCUAGGAGUGCUUGAGUUGCUUGGUUUAAGUUCAAAUCACUUUUAGAGAAGCUGAUUAAUCUGUACCAAAGGCUUGCAACUUCUCACCCACCUUGGGAACCUCCAACCCGAACAGCAU
rnacentral:lncRNA from 1 species